rnacentral:rRNA from 1 species
CGGAUUGUAAAGCACUUUAAGUUGGGAGGAAGGGCAGUUACCUAAUACGUGAUUGUUUUGACGUUACCGACAGAAUAAGCACCGGCUAACUCUGUGCCAGCAGCCGCGGUAAUACAGAGGGUGCAAGCGUUAAUCGGAAUUACUGGGCGUAAAGCGCGCGUAGGUGGUUUGUUAAGUUGGAUGUGAAAUCCCCGGGCUCAACCUGGGAACUGCAUUCAAAACUGACUGACUAGAGUAUGGUAGAGGGUGGUGGAAUUUCCUGUGUAGCGGUGAAAUGCGUAGAUAUAGGAAGGAACACCAGUGGCGAAGGCGACCACCUGGACUGAUACUGACACUGAGGUGCGAAAGCGUGGGGAGCAAACAGGAUUAGAUACCCG